GUGCUCACUUCAGCAGCACGUAUACUAAAAUUAGAAUGAUACAGAGACUAGCAUGGCCCCUGUGCAGGGAUGGCAUGCAAUUUGUGAAGUGUUCCAUAUUUUA